AUUGAACGCUGGCGGCAGGCCUAACACAUGCAAGUCGAACGAGUGGCGGACGGGUGAGUAAUGUCUGGGAAACAGCCCGAUGGAGGGGGAUAACAACCUGAAACGGGAGCUAAUACUGCAUACCAUCGGAUGUGUACAGAUGGGUUUAGCUAGGAGGUGGGGUAACUGCUCACCUAGGCGACGAUCCCUAGCUGGUCUGAGAGGAGGACAAGCCACCCCGGAUUGGAAUCGCGAUCCAGACUACUACGGGAGGCAGCAGAGGGGAAUAUUGCACUAGGGGAGGAACCCUGACGCAGCCCUGCCGAGUGUAUGAAGGAGGCCUUCGGUUUGUAAAGUACUUUCAGCGAGGAGGAGUUACUAGAAGAAGAAGCACCGGCUAACUCCGUGCCAGCAGCCGCGGUAAUUC
rnacentral:rRNA from 1 species